rnacentral:rRNA from 1 species
CCUGCCCAGAAGCGGGGGAUAACACCUGGAAACAGAUGCUAAUACCGCAUAACAACUUGGACCGCAUGGUCCGAGCUUGAAAGAUGGCUUCGGCUAUCACUUUUGGAUGGUCCCGCGGCGUAUUAGCUGGAUGGUGGGGUAACGGCUCACCAUGGCAAUGAUACGUAGCCGACCUGAGAGGGUAAUCGGCCACAUUGGGACUGAGACACGGCCCAAACUCCUACGGGAGGCAGCAGUAGGGAAUCUUCCACAAUGGACGAAAGUCUGAUGGAGCAACGCCGCGUGAGUGAAGAAGGGUUUCGGCUUGUAAAACUCUGUUGUUAAAGAAGAACAUAUCUGAGAGUAACUGUUCAGGUAUUGACGGUAUUUAACCAGAAAGCCACGGCUAACUACGUGCCAGCAGCCGCGGUAAUACGUAGGUGGCAAGCGUUGUCCGGAUUUAUUGGGCGUAAAGCGAGCGCAGGCGGUUUUUUAAGUCUGAUGUGAAAGCCUUCGGCUCAACCGAAGAAGUGCAUCGGAAACUGGGAAACUUGAGUGCAGAAGAGGACAGUGGAACUCCAUGUGUAGCGGUGAAAUGCGUAGAUAUAUGGAAGAACACCAGUGGGCGAAGGCGGCUGUCUGGUCUGUAACUGACGCUGAGGCUCGAAAGUAUGGGUAGCAAACAGGAUUAGAUACCCUGGUAGUCCAUACCGUAAACGAUGAAUGCUAAG